rnacentral:rRNA from 1 species
GAUGAACGCUAGCGGCAGGCUUAACACAUGCAAGUCGAGGGGCAGCAUAAAUAGUAGCAAUACUAUUGGUGGCGACCGGCGGACGGGUGCGUAACGCAUAUACAACCUUCCCUAAACAGGGGGAUAAUCUGGAGAAAUUCGGUCUAAUACCCCAUAACAUCAGAGCAGGCAUCUGUUUUGGUUAAAAUUUCCGGAGGUUUAGGAUGGGUAUGCGUAGCAUUAGCUAGUUGGUGAGGUAACGGCUCACCAAGGCGACGAUGCUUAGGGGGACUGAGAGGUUAACCCCCCACACUGGUACUGGGACACGGACCAGACUCCUACGGGAGGCAGCAGUGAGGAAUAUUGGUCAAUGGGCGGAAGCCUGAACCAGACAUGCCGCGUGCAGGAUGACGGCUCUAUGAGUUGUAAACUGCUUUUGUACGAGGGUAAAGUGGGCUACGUGUAGCCUUUUGAAAGUAUCGUACGAAUAAGGAUCGGCUAACUCCGUGCCAGCCGCCGCCGUAA